rnacentral:tRNA from 1 species
AGGGGUGUAGCUCUAAUUGGCAGAGCGCCGGUCUCCAAAACCGGAGGUUGUGAGUUCGAAUCUCACCACCCCUGCGA